AAGAACAACUUGUCAGGUGGUGCAUUGGAGACUGAUGUGUUCCUGUCCUGUCUUUUCAUAAUACUAUUGCAGAUCGACAUAAAAGCCUAAAAGACAGCCGUGGUGUCGCUCUUCAUUUCUUGGUUCUCCUGUGGUGCAUAAGAAACCCGCUACAGCUAAAUACAAAAUGGUAUGUGCAGAGUACCAUCGUAUCACAAACCAGCAACUCCGGGAUUCGUUUUAUUCCAUGUUGACCAACACACAGAACGCUUGCUAGCCCUAUCCAGAGAAGCAGGGAAAGACUGGAAGAAAUGGACAGAAGAUGGCUGGCAUUCUAAAUAUGUACAGCCAGAUGUCUUCCAGCAAUACUCCAAGAGGAUGACUCUGGAGUGUUCAUAACUUGCACGGAGGGAACAUCCCAAGACCCUGCAGCCAUCGAGACCAGCAGUCAUCAUCUGUCAUUGAUGACGAUAGAGAUGUAGCUGCUGUGCCAGUCCAUCCAGGAAGAGUCUACGUGGUCCUUGAGGAGAACGUGUUUCUGAAGGAUUUCCGGUGCUGGCCUAAUGCAAUGCACUUGUAUGUUUGUACGGGCUAAUGUACUCACUCCAACAUGGAUAACCGAAUUGCACGAAGAACACGCUUAUGUUUAUACAAAAAGUGUUGUUAAACUUGGAUGGAGACACAAUGAAGCCAAAGGUCCUUGCUUUGAAAAAUCAACUGUAAAAUACCAAUACCAAAAAUAUUUAUGGCGCUAAACAAUUGUACAUAGUUAUGUUAUCCUAUAAGGAAAAGAGAUUUAGGGAUAACAUUUUUUUUAAACUACUGAAGACGACUAAAUGUUUUGUAGGCAAAUGCCAACUAAAAUGUCUGCCUGCAUUUGAUUUGAUCUGCGCCUUUUAGUCAAACCGGUCACAGAAAUGAGAGUCAUGUUAUACUAUUGGCCUUUAAUCUUAACAUGUACAGAGAUACAAGAGUAACUUGACUUCAGUUGGUGUAGAGUUUAAUUGAAAGUGUUUCUGUUUGGGAAAACUCAACAUUAGCAUUGUGAAGUUGACUUACAAAUCCUUGUAUAUAGGAAGCUUUGGAGGCAUUGGCCACAAAUCUCACAUUGCUGACGUCAUCAAAUAAAAAAUGGCCCGAGGUCCCAGAGGAUGAAAA